GACGAACGCUGGCGGCGUGCUUAACACAUGCAAGUCGAACGGAAAGGCCCUGCUUUUGUGGGGUGCUCGAGUGGCGAACGGGUGAGUAACACGUGAGUAACCUGCCCUUGACUUUGGGAUAACUUCAGGAAACUGGGGCUAAUACCGGAUAGGAGCUCCUGCUGCAUGGUGGGGGUUGGAAAGUUUCGGCGGUUGGGGAUGGACUCGCGGCUUAUCAGCUUGUUGGUGGGGUAGUGGCUUACCAAGGCUUUGACGGGUAGCCGGCCUGAGAGGGUGACCGGCCACAUUGGGCCUGAGAUACGGCCCAGACUCCUACGGGAGGCAGCAGUGGAGAAUAUUGCACAAUGGGCGGAAGCCUGAUGCAGCAACGCCGCGUGCGGGAUGACGGCCUUCGGGUUGUAAACCGCUUUCGCCUGUGACGAAGCGUGAGUGACGGUAAUGGGUAAAGAAGCACCGGCUAACUACGUG
rnacentral:rRNA from 1 species